rnacentral:piRNA from 1 species
UGAGUUCAAGGCCAGCCUGGUCUACACAGU